UACGUAGGGGGCAAGCGUUGUCCGGAUUUAUUGGGCGUAAAGAGCGUGUAGGCGGCCUGACAGGUCUGCUGUGAAAACUCGAGGCUCAACCUCGAGAUGUCGGCGGAAACCGUCUGGCUAGAGUCCGGAAGAGGAGAGUGGAAUUCCCGGUGUAGCGGUGAAAUGCGCAGAUAUCGGGAAGAACACCCGUGGCUAAGGCGGCUCUCUAGUACGGUACUGACGCUGAGACGCGAAAGCGUGGGGAGCGAACAGG
rnacentral:rRNA from 1 species